rnacentral:rRNA from 1 species
AGAGUUUGAUCAUGGCUCAGAACGAACGCUGGCGGCGUGCUUAACACAUGCAAGUCGAACGCGAACGAGUUCUUCGGAACUUUAGUAGAGUGGCGCACGGGUGAGUAACGCGUAAGUUAUCUACCCUCCCAUCUGGAAUAACUCACCGAAAGGUGUGCUAAUACCGGAUACGUUGAUUUAUCAAGAAAGGUGGCCUCUAUUUAUAAGCUACCGUGGGGGGAUGAGCUUGCGUACCAUUAGCUAGUUGGUAGGGUAAUGGCCUACCAAGGCAACGAUGGUUAGCGGGUCUGAGAGGAUGAUCCGCCACACUGGAACUGGAACACGGACCAGACUCCUACGGGAGGCAGCAGUGAGGAAUAUUGCGCAAUGGGGGAAACUCUGACGCAGCGACGCCGCGUGGAUGAUGAAGGCCUUUGGGUCGUAAAAUCCUGUCAGAUGGAAAGAAAUGCUAUUGGUUUAAUAUGCCUUUAGUUUGACG